rnacentral:lncRNA from 1 species
CAAAAUUUAAAAAAAAAUAAAUAAAUGUAAAACUUGCAAUAAUAAUAAUUAUUAUUAUUAGGUAGAAUACGUUUGCGAUAUUUCUCAAUAGGUAGUAAGUAGCAUUUAAAUUUUUUUCUCAUGCGUGUCAGCGUGUUAAUUUUUGUGUUACUAGGACAGAAUAAUUAUUGUUAUUUUUUUUUUAAACAUUUAUAAUAAUUAUGUAAAUUUUUGUUUUGUUUUUUUAACAGGAAUCGACUGCGUUACCAACUCGUACCAGCGUGGGAAGUUCAAGAGCAAAUACGAGACCACCCAGACCUCCGAAACCACCACCACCUCCGAGAUCGCAGUCUAUGAUUCCAGAAAAAAGCCCAAAACAACAAGAACGAUCAAAAAUUUCAGAGAAUAAAGAGGAAAAAGUUGAAAGUCCGGAUAAUGCCUCCAAACCUCAAGUUCCAAAAAGACAAUAUAAGUGUAACGGAAAGUCAGAAUACGCUAAUUUAGGUAAGUGAUACGUGUGCUAUUAUCCAAUAUAAAUCUAUUGUUAUCUUAUCUGCAAACUCUGUUAGAAGUUAGCUGUUUGUUCGCAUGUAUUCGAUGCAUCAAAUUUUAUAUACACAGUGUAACGUUUCAGAAAUAGAAUGAAAAAAUUUCAAUUAAUAGGUAAGGAACUUGAACAAAUAUUUUUUCUCCCACGUGUCAUCCAUAUGGCGGAUCCUACUCGACUAAGUCAAUAAAUUAUAUUUGAAACGACUACACUCGUACGAGUUUUAUGGAUUUAAACAUGUUGCAUUAAUUAAUCCCAUCUGUUCUGUUUUUGAAACUGCAACUCGAAUAUUUGUCAUUUAAUAUAUUUUUCUAUAUAAUUUAAUGUUAUUUUGUAGAAAAAAUAGUUAUUGCAAUUUUUAAAAAACUGUGUAAUCGAUCUAUGGUAGGUGAUAUCAGAACGUCCGUGGCUCCCAAAAAACCGGAGAGGACUACAACAGAUGUAGAAAAGAAGCAAGAAACUAGCAAAAAAUGUGAUGUUUAUGAGCCUUUCGAUGAACAAAUUUAUCACGAUACUCUAGUAGUAAGUACUGUUAAAAGUAUUGUAGUAAUAGCUUUUACAGUAUACAAAAUAAGUGAUGGUAAUAGUAACAGUUGAAACUUUAUAUCCUCG